GAGAGGCUGAGCACAGUGUCACAAAGGCACAGAACAGCUGAGCUCAGAAGGGACCUCUGGAGAAUGUCUGCUCCAAAACCCAUGACCACAGAAACACCAAGGUCUCCAGGCAAGCAUUAAGACACCACCUGGUCCAUUUCCUUCACUUAGCCAUCAGGUAUUUGAAAAGAUCCCUCACAAAGAUAAAUCAAAUCAAAUCAAUCUCAACUUUCUCUCAAGCCUUUCUUCACUGAGAGACACUCCACUUCUUAUUCCUCUUUGAGGCCCCUGAGCCAAUGCUACUGUGACCUGUUGUGGCAGCAUUUUGACCAUGGAUGCAGUGAUUCCUUGUCUUCCCAGGGAAAGGUGAAUGUUUGGGAGAACAUUUUCAUGUCCCAGACUGCAGCUGACAGGAGCAACCAUCCACUCUGUUCUGCAGUCCACAGAAGGGGUGACAUGGUGACUACCUGUCACUGUUCAUCUGGUGUUCCUCAAAAUCCAGCUGUGAAAUCUCUUGUAAGAGAGGCUUAGAGAAAAGAUGUCUUGCCUGGAGACAGGAUUAAUGAGGCUGAGUCUUACUGGUGGCCACAGAACUGAUUCAGUUUGGAAAAUGUGAGGUUUUGUUUGUUACUGUGAUGGGACCGCAAAUAAAAUACAACUUUCCCAAGGAUGUGCCUGCAUAAUUCAGUAAUAUCCCCUUGAAGACCACAGUGCCCUUUAAAUUAAAAAAUCAGGAUUUUACAUGGACUAGAACAAUUACAUUUUUAAUUAGCACAACUCAAAACAAUUUGUUAAAGCAGAUGAAGAAAGAGAAGACACUGUCUCCUUGUUUCUCCUUUUGAUUUCAGUCAGCUCAGUGGUUUUCUGGGUUUCAACAAGUUCUAAAUGGCUGCUUUGCUCUCUCCAGCAGUCUCCCAGUCUUGACCUGUGGUUUUCCAGGUCCUUGCUAAGUUCUCUGCCUGUGUCUUUCUGUACCUGCCCUACCCUUCAGUCCUGAAGCCUCCUUGAGAGGAGGUUGAGACCAAUUGAGACCAAGACCAAUGAAGACUGAGACCAAUUAAGCCUUCUUGGGGAGACUAAUUAAGCCUGGAACAGCUUCCCAGGGCAAUGGUCACAGUAUCAAGCCAAACACAGCUCAAGAAAUGUUUGGACAAUGCUUUAUGGCACAGGAUGGGAUUCUUAGGGUGCCCUGUACAGGGCCAGGAUUUGGACUUGAUGAUCCUGAUGGGCCCUUUACAACUCCAAAUAUUUCUAUGUUUUUAUGACACUUAGUCCCAGAGGAAUGACUCCCUGUCCCUCUGCAGAUUUCCAUCUGUCCCAGUCACUUUCCAAAGGCAUGUGAUAUAUGACACGUGUUUAAAAAGUCAGAUAUCCUUUGCCAUAAUUGAUCAGCUGAAAAGGCUCUAUCUAUUCUGUUGAUGCAAGAGGGCAGAAUGAAGUUCCCCUGGCCAUCAAAAUUCUCCUUUCCCCACACUUAAAAGUUAAUCUCUACUUCAAUGCACUGUCCCUGAACCUUGAAGGACAUCCACUUCUUCAUUUCCCUCUAAAUUAGAGCUGGAUUUUAGUCUGAAGUUGCAUUUGAAUGAAGGGCAAAAUUCCUCCUGCUUUCAACAGAAAGAAAAUUUAUUUGCUUGAGUUGAAUUUUAGCCAGUCAAGAGUUCACACUUGUCUUGGUAAAUAGGAAAAGACAUCCCCAAGCUGGUGAGAGGGAUUCUGACCAAACUCCCUGCAGCUGCACAGGAGGGUGAAGUCUUCAGGGACACAAAGCCAGGACAUCUGUCUCCAACUCUGGAGUCUGCAGGGACAGAACUUGGGUGUGCCUUGACUUCAGUGGCACAACAUGCACAGAGCUCCCAUCAUCACAGCUGUCCUCUGCUACCACCAUGGGACCUCAAGGAGCAGUGACACCACUGCCAAGAAUGAAACUUUUAGAGCUCCCUAAAGGGUUCAGCUCAGCCUGGGCUGUGCCCACAGACUGGUCCUGAGCAGGUGACACCAGUGUCCCUGAGAAAGGGAGAAAACCCCAAAGAACAGGAAACACUGGCAAUCCACGUUCUGCACAAAACCCUCUGGAUUGUGUGGCUUCUAAAGCAGGAUAAUAAUGAGGGGCUGGGCUCGUUUGUGUGAUGAUUUUUAGCACUACAGUCAGCUGAAAUUUGGCCUCCUUGUACAUUCACACACUGUGUGAGACUGUGUCUGUCUGUGUGUGUGACAGGCACUGGCAGGCACAUCUCCUCCGGGACAUAUUUGUGGAAUAUCAGCUAUUUAGUGCCAUCUUGUUCACUCAGUGGGCAAGCCAGAAACAACUGUGGAACAAACCCAAAACAAGCCUUUCCUUUCCUGGAGGAUCUGGUGCCAAUGCAUCUCUUAUCUUGCCAGGCAUGAGCCAGGUGAAAUCACAACGUCCUGUGGAGACUGGUCCUUGCUCUCCAUUGGAUGUGUGGUAUCCCAAGUGAGGUUUCCAUGCUGCUCUGAUACUGCAUCCAAGGCAAGGAUUAUUGUUUUUCUGUAAAUUGUGGCUGGACUUUCACAAGAGGUCACUUCUGGUUUGAGACUGAACUGCUUCUGAGUACAUUGGACUGAAGGCAAAGGGAACUGAGAUUCAGCUGCUGGAGUGAAGAAUGGCAAUGAUGUGGGAGAGAAAAUAAUCCAUUUGGUGAAAACUGAAAUAAAUGAGACCACAGUGUGUUCAUUUCA